UGAGGAAUAUCGCACAAUGGGCGCAAGCCUGAUGCAGCAACGCCGCGUGCGGGACGACGGCCUUCGGGUUGUAAACCGCUUUUCUGAGGGACGAGCGAGGACGGUACCUUAGGAAUAAGUCUCGGCUAACUACGUGCCAGCAGCCGCGGUAAAACGUAGGAGGCGAGCGUUGUCCGGAUUUACUGGGCGUAAAGCGCGCGCAGGUGGCCGUGUAAGUUGGACGUGAAAGCUCCUGGCUUAACUUGGAGAGGUCGUUCGAUACUGCGGGGCUAUAGGUUGGAAGAGGGGUGUGGAAUUCACGGAGUAGUGGUGGAAUGCGUAGAUAUCGGGAGGAACACCUGAGGCGAAGGCGGCACCCUGGCCCACACCUGACACUGAGGUGCGAAAGCGUGGGGAGU
rnacentral:rRNA from 1 species